GACGGAGGAUGCAAGCGUUAUCCGGAAUUAUUGGGCGUAAAGCGUCCGUAGGCGGUUGAAUAAGUCAGCUGUUAAAGACUGGGGCUUAACCCUGGGGUUGCAGCUGAGACUGGUUGACUAGAGAGCGGUAGGGGUAGAGGGAAUUCCUAGUGUAGCGGUGAAAUGCGUAGAGAUUAGGAAGAAAACCAGUGGCGAAGGCGCUCUACUGGGCCGUUACUGACGAUGAUGGACGAAAGAUAGGGGAGCGAAUGGG
rnacentral:rRNA from 1 species